GAUGAACGCUGGCGGCGUGCUUAACACAUGCAAGUCGAACGGUGAAGCAGGAGCUUGCUCCUGUGGAUCAGUGGCGAACGGGUGAGUAACACGUGAGCAAUCUGCCCUGGACUCUGGGAUAAGCGUUGGAAACGACGUCUAAUACCGGAUACGAGGCGUGGGGGCAUCCCCAACGCCUGGAAAGAACUUCGGUCCAGGAUGAGCUCGCGGCCUAUCAGGUAGUUGGUGAGGGAACGGCUCACCAAGCCUACGACGGGUAGCCGGCCUGAGCGGGUGACCGGGCACACUGGGCCUGAGACACGGCCCAGACUCGUACGGGAGGCAGCAGUGGGGAAUAUUGCAGAAUGGGGGCACGCCUGAUGCAGCAACGCCGCGUGAGGGACGACGGCCUUCGGGUUGUAAACCUCUUUUAGCAGGGAAGAAGCGAAAGUGACGGUACCUGCAGAAAAAGCACCGGCUAACUACGUGCCAGCAGCCGCCGUAAAAC
rnacentral:rRNA from 1 species